UCCUCCAUGGUCCAACGGCUAGGAUCCGUCGCUUUCACCGACGUGGCCCGGGUUCGACUCCCGGUGGGGGAG